rnacentral:lncRNA from 1 species
UUUCUCUCUCUCCUUCAAGAAUCAAAAAAUUCUGCAUCCCCGUUCUCACCUUUUCAAUUUCCCAAUCCAAUUGUCCACAUUCAUAAACCUUUCUCCUAAUCGACGGCACAACCGUCAGGUUCUUCUUCUUCUUGGCAGUGGUGUGUAAGUAGGAGUGGUGGCGAUGUGUGUAGCGGUGGUGACGGUAAACAGAGGGAUGGUGGUGUUCGGCUGUGAAGUAUGGGAGGGGCGUUCGGUGGUGGUGUGUGGCAGGGGUGUUUGACGGUGGUGUGCGGUGCUGGUGUGAACGGAGGGAAUGAGUGAUGGUGGUUUGGGGGUGAACGAUGGGGCUAUGGCGGUGAUGUGUUAGUGCAGUGGUGGUUGGUGAUUUGGGGGUGGUGGUUGGUGAUUUGGGGGUGGUGACGGUGAACGGAGGGAUGGUGGGUUUUGGUUGGUGCAGUGGUGGUUGAACGAUGUAAAGCCAUCAACAUGUUGAACUAUCUAAACCCGUCAACUGCUUGAACCAUCUAAUCUAAUGGUGGCGGUGGUAGUUGGGUGUUGGUGGUGGUGGUGGCCGAUGGGAUGUGGCGGCUGAAGGUUGGUGGUGGUGGGAAGUGGUCGUAAUGGGUGAAGAGAGAGAGAGAGGAUGGAGAGGAGAAUGAGAGAGAGAGAGAGAAGAGAGUAGGAGAGAGAGUCAGAGAGAGAGAGAGAGAGAGAUUUCAUGUUUUUUAAUAUUUAUAAUUUAUUU